AUUGACAAAAAACAGAUUCAAACUUAUGGAUUUAAGAAGGAAAAUCACGAAAUUCGAAUAUAAUAUAAAUCACGAGACUCAUUUGUUGUUUUUAAACAAUAUAAAAAGAGGAUAAUGCAAACUAUAUAUAUCCAUUCAAACAACAUAAAUCAUAUUUCAGUUUCUAAGAGGUUUUUCUCAACUCUUUAUUGCUUACUCAACAUUUCAAUUGUGUUUUUGUUCUCCUUUCUCUAUAAACUGAUGACAACCUCGAUGUCGUCACUAUUCAAAACAAAAGAUCUUUGAUUUUAAUUGUUAUAUUAUUCCCAUUUUUCUAUUUGAUUUUUCUUUUCUGCAUGUAAAAAAAAUGAGUUAUACGUAGAAACAUGACUUGUUUUAUAUAAUGCAGAUUUAAAUUCUAUUGUUGGUUUUCUUCAAUCCCUGACAAUGAAUGAAUCCGACAAUCUCACUCCUUCUCGACCACGGUCGAUGACUCAGCCUCCACUUGCCUUCUCAUUAUUGCCCCCAUUGAACCCUUCUUCGUCGUCAUCCCGUUGCAAUUCAUUACCAUUGAUGAACCUUUCUCCCUCAGCUCCUGUGGAGAGUAGAGACUCUUCCAUUAAGGUUAAGAAAAACCCUUCAUUCCCUCAUUUGGGUGUGAAGAGAAGAGCAUCCAAAGACAUUUCACAUUGAGGAGACAUUACAUGAGUGUUUCAUUUGAUAGUUGUUUAUAUUACUUACCGAAGCUGCCUCCUUCUCAAGGUAAUGUUUCCUCUUCAAGUUCAAUUGAUGGAGACGAGAAUGCUUCUGGGCUCGAGUUUGGUAGCGGUGAUUAUACUGAUGAUGAAUUGAAUAAGAUUGCAAAGAGUACCAAACUUCAAGAGAUUGCAUCUGACCCUAAGAAAGUCAGAAGUUCAGUGAACUUGUAUGACUAAAUUAUUAUU
rnacentral:sRNA from 1 species